rnacentral:lncRNA from 1 species
CGGGAGGGGGCGGCCGGCGGCCUCUUAAAGAGACAGCAGUGCCGGGUGGUGGGCGAUGACCCCAGCCGGGAACGAGCUCCGGGAUGCGUCCCCGGGAGCUUCUGGGUCCGCGAAUGGAUGGCUAGGACGCAGGCAGAACGAUGCUGUGCAGCGUCUGCUCUGCCAACCCCUCUGCACUUCCCUCUCCAGAGCCGGGUGGGGGCGGGGAGGGAGGGCGUCUCCGUCGAGUCGGGGCGUUCACGCCCGCUCCUGCCUUCGGCCUGUCGUGGGGCUAGCGCGGACCCCGGUAAUCCCCUGGCGGGCACGGACAGGCCCACUCCAGUGUGCAGACUGCCGUCGGUCCUGUGCCGUCCGGUACCUGGGUAGCCCUGGAGGAUGAAAUUUCCCUGUUGGGUCUUCGAGCAGCCCAUGACUGAUGUCCUGCCGGCUGCUCGGUGGCUGGUGAGCAAAUGGAUGCCAGUGAUGAACGAAGCAGAGAGACUGACUCUUGCCAGCUAUGCCAGCUAGUCCAUAAGGAGCCAUUGGACAAGAGAUUUCUCUAGGUCUCUCAGAGUGGCUGGGCAGCAUCUAGACUGCUAGGGUUUCUGGAUGGUGGUCAUCAGACUCGUCUCUUAAAAGCCUUUUCCAACAGUGCCUCUAACAUUCCCAACCGAUUUGCUAAGCAGUUUUUAUAUAUAGGCAAUGGCUCAUUUGGUCUCUGUGAUGACCCGGGAGGGAGACAGGUGUUAGGGAGUCUGCGUGUGUAGACUGGGGGAUUAUUUUGGAGAGUGUGAGUCACUGUCCAGGGCUCCACAGCUGGGCAGUGGCAGACCCAGGCUUGAAGCUGCAUUUUUGACUUUAGCUUCCAUUCUACCCAAGCUUAUCCAGGUUUCCCCUUCCCCCUGUUUGCUAAAGUUGUCCUUAAAUGUUCUGUAUACUGGAUUUAGAAGCCUGUAGGAUCUGCAGGAAUGGUUAACUUGAUGUGCUUUGUGCUAUACUGUUACUGAAUCAGUAAAUAAAAGAUCACAUGACUGCUUCUUGUCUUGGAUUCAGCUGAUACGUACCUCCCCAAGAUGAUACACAGUAUACACAUUUCCUUUGCAGUAGAUUCCUGGGUCAAAAGCCCCCCCUCCCCGUCUUAAAAAAAAUCUCAAGGCUUUUACAGAUGACAAAACAUGAAGUUGAUAUAAUUUUUUUAAAGAAGUUGACCAUUGGUCAGUAACACAAGCUCCUGUGAUAAGUUUCUAUAGAGACGUUAGCCUUGGCCCUUGGUUCAGCUUGCAGUGCCUUUGCUGUAAAUGGAAAAGCUGAUUUCCUUUUUU